GACGAACGCUGGCGGCGUGCUUAACACAUGCAAGUCGAACGGAAAGGCCCUGCUUGCAGGGUACUCGAGUGGCGAACGGGUGAGUAACACGUGGGUGAUCUGCCCUGCACUUCGGGAUAAGCCUGGGAAACUGGGUCUAAUACCGGAUAGGAGCCAUUUUUAGUGUGAUGGUUGGAAAGUUUUUUCGGUGUAGGAUGAGCUCGCGGCCUAUCAGCUUGUUGGUGGGGUAAUGGCCUACCAAGGCGGCGACGGGUAGCCGGCCUGAGAGGGUGGACGGCCACAUGGGGACUGGGAUACGGCCCAGACUCCUACGGGGGGCAGCAGGGGGGAAUAUUGCACAAUGGGGGAAAGCCUGAGGGGGCGACGCCGGGUGGGGGAUGACGGCCUUCGGGUUUUAAACUCCUUUCGCUGGGGACGAAGCUUUUUGUGACGGUACCUAGAUAAGAAGCACCGGCUAACUACGU
rnacentral:rRNA from 1 species